rnacentral:lncRNA from 1 species
CUUCUUAAAGGUUCUACCACCUCCUAAUAGUGUCAAACUUGAGACUAAACCUUUAACACAUAGCAUAGACCUCUGGGGAACAUUUAAGAUCAAAACUAAAGCCCUAACUAUUCAACAUAACAUUAAUGAAACAGAAGAAAUGUCUUUGAGAAUUAAAAUAGCAAGGCUAUGAUUGAAUUUGAUCCAUUUUGUUAGGAUCAGUGGUCUCUGGGAUACAUCUGACCUUAAUCUUCUAUGAAAGUGUAUCUAGGCAUACAACAUUGCCAUCCCAUAAUAACACCAGGAUGGUCCUUUUACUCUAUAGACACUUCAUGUUGGGGUGAGAAUGCACACACUAAGAAAAGCAAGGGGGCCUUGAUUUUUAAUGAUAUGAUUAGGAAUAGCUAUCCCUCAUUGACAACUAGGCACUGUGUGUACAUCAAUUCUUACUUAAACCCAGAAGGCAGAAAAAUGCAAUGAUUUCUUUCAUUAAACCAAAGUGCUGCUGCAAGGUUGGUUGAAAUGAAGACUCCUCUGUGAGCUAGUGCUCCUGGAUUUCCUAGCUGCUUGGUCUUAUCUGCUAAUAUUUUUCUUUUCCCUCAUGAACAGGGUUCUAAAACUUGAACUAUGGGAAGAAUUCUCUACACAGGGCCAGAUGCCUGCUGCAAACUCAGGAAUGUGGAGUGGGCCCCAAAAGCUGUGUGGUUAGCAUACAGUACUGGAGAUUCUGAGCUUACUGUCCUGAACAGCAUUUGGAGAAAUGCUAGCAAGGCCAUUCGCCCCUGAUUUACCAUUUCCACCACUGGGCCAGCAUUGAGAAACUUUGCUUCUCACAUCUGGGCCUACAAUAGACCAUUAGUUCCCAUGCAUAGAGUAUUAGCUGGAGUGUUUAUGUCAAGAGAUAGAAGGGAUACUGUGCAUCUGCAUCUAAGGAGCCAAAAUCCCAAAAUCUGAGCCUAGCUUUCUUCUCUGCUACUUGAAGUAGAAGAAGCAGGCAAUGUGAUCUAAUGCCUAAGAGAACAUAAUAGUAAACAGACCUGGCUAAUGAUUCCCAAGAGUUCAGAAAGGCCAAGUGUACAUGGUCCACUCAUGAUUUCACAGUGUGUGGAAAGUACAAAUGCAAAUACCACUGGCCUCUUUGAAUCUCAUUGUGCAGAAUGUAGGAUCCUUGAGCUUGGAUUGAGGCAGCAGAUUAGAGCACAGUCAGCUGGCUAGGCAAGUGGGUGUGAUCUGUCAAUCAGAGAUCCAGGUCAUGUGCAAAAACCCAGUUAAAAGUCCUGCAAUUUGGACCAAUUGAAAAGGGCUAUUUUCAGUUCUUACUAAAAUUCAAACAAGGUUUUGAUAGGACAGCCCUAGAUCUGACAUCUGCCUGAGGACAAAACAUGGCCACCAUUAAGCUGGUAGCCACUAUGACAGUGGUAACAAACCUAUAGCACGUGUGUAAUUGUGUUUUUAAGACAAAAGAUGUUAAACCUAAAACCUCCAGUAUUCAGGUUUAAUUGUAGUGUUGAGACUUUGCAAUAAAUACAUGGGUUUGGGUUGCAGUUUGGCACUUAGUCCCUAAAAGGUUUGCCAUUACCGCACUAUGAGCUUCCUCAGUGGCCC